AUCCAGCUGACUAGUCCAAAAUAGGAAAAAACGCGCGUCCUGCAU
rfam:Schistosoma haematobium scaffold677_28, whole genome shotgun sequence.